ACGCUGGCGGCACGCCUUAUACAUGCAAGUCGAACGCAGUAGCAAUACUGAGUGGCAGACGGGUGAGUAUAAUGUGGGAAUCUGCCUUUUGGUUUGGAAUAACUCGGGGAAACUUGAGCUAAUACCGGAUAAGCCCUUACGGGGAAAGCUUUAUGCGCCGAAAGAUGAGCCCGCACUUGAUUAGCUUGUUGGUGAGGUAAUGGCUCACCAAGGCAACAAUCAAUAGCUGUUCUUAGAGGAAGACCAGCCACAUUGGGACUGAGACACGGCCCAGACUCCUACGGGAGGCAGCAGUAAGGAAUCUUGCACAAUGGGGGAAACCCUGAUGCAGCGAUGCCGCGUGAGUGAAGAAGGCCUUUGGGUUGUAAAACUCUUUCGUUGGGGAAGAAAAUGACUGUACCCAAAUAAGAAGGUCCGGCUAACUUCGUGCCAGCAGCCGCGGUAAUACGAAGGGACCUAGCGUAGUUCGGAAUUACUGGGCUUAAAGAGCUCGUAGGUGGUUAAAAAAGUUGAUGGUGAAAUCCCAAGGCUCAACCUUGGAACUGCCAUCAAAACUUUUUAGCUAGAGUGUGAUAGAGGAAAGUGGAAUUUCUAGUGUAGAGGUGAAAUUCGUAGAUAUUAGAAAGAACACCAAAAGCGAAGGCAACUUUCUGGAUCACUACUGACACUGAGGAGCGAAAGCAUGGGUAGCGAAGAGGAUUAGAUACCCUCGUAGUCCAUGCUGUAAACGAUGUGUGCUAGACGUUGGAAAUUUAAUUUUCAGUGUCGCAGCAAAAGCGUUAAGCACACCGCCUGGGGAGUACGACCGC
rnacentral:rRNA from 1 species